rnacentral:lncRNA from 1 species
CUACUCCAUCUACAUGGACAAGAGCAAGUUAGUUGUUUGCAUGGCAUUCACUUAAUAAAACUGCAUGUAUAUUCAUCUACAUUACUUCUUUAGUAUAGUACAGUACAAAGGAUGGAUGGGCUUGAGUUCAAAUGUUUGCUUGCACAUGUACUACAAAUAUACUUAGGCAGAUGAAAAAUCAACUACAAGCAGGAACACGAUGAGCCAUAACAAGCUAGUAAGACACUAGCAGUAGAGCAACCAUAAUAUGAAGCAAACAGAGGAAUCACAAGGCAAUUCUACUAAAUUCAUUAAAAGAAUAGUGGCAAUUUUAGGCAGUGUGCUAGAUGAGGUACAAACUGAAUACUAGUACAGAUUAAAGUAGGUUGAAUGUUGAGCGGCACAUAUAAUAUAAUGGUAAGAAAAUGAUAGCAUCAAACAGAUUGACAGCGAGAAUUUUUCAUCUUGGGCAUGGAGAGCUCUGUAUAAUUCAACCAUUCAAAACUAUGCACUGCAUAGCAAGCACUAUACGGAAUACUAGAAAGCAUUUAAUUUGCUUGUGUUUGAUUGUUUGACAGCCAUUGUUACCAAGUCAAAUUAAAUCACAGCAGCAUAUGCAGUGAGGACAAACCAUCCUAGAGACCGCAAACUGCAGUGCUUCUAGAGGAGUUACAAGCAGUUUUGUGAAACUAAUAAUUGUAGAAUAGCAACCAAAGAGUGCCCCUGAUUAGAUAAGAGUCCUAGGUUACGUAUGUACAGAGCAGAGCAGCGGCGAGGGUAAUGCAAAUCACUGACCAAAAUAGUGGAUCAAGCUGAAAAUCUGUAACAGAAAUUGCAGGAUUGAGUAUAUAAAAACCUGUCAGCCAUUGGUAACUCCAGUAAGAAGAAACCUAAAGCUUGAUGCUACUGAAGCUAGUACUGCCAUUUUCACUGUAAUAAAAUAUAAAAAGCUAUAAAUGGAUGGAUCUUCCCAGCUUAACACAGACCAGCUGGACACAUCCACAACACAUUUUCUCUUUGCACCGAAGCAGACCUCCUCCAUGAGCCUGUAGUUGUCGGCCGACAAGGUGAACUCCAGCGCCGCUGGAGGUGGGGUCGAGGCGAUGGGCCUUCUCGAAGGCAUAGAACCGACCUAGCACCGCGCCAAGAGACAUACAUAUUAAUACAUUGUGUGGGUGAGGCAAGGAAACAGAUACUAGCACUCUGUAACACAUCUAGAGAAUUAUGCCCACUUCACUUCACUUCACUUGGAGUUAAUAAACUAGAUGGACUGUCGCUAGUGUACAACUACCAGUGUUGUAGUACUUGAGGAAGAUGAAUAUAGUACAGCUCACACACACAGGUACAAAGUAAUAGAAUACAGACAAUUACUAAGUGGAGUAGUAGUAGAAGGGACCUAAGCUAGCACCCAAGCCAAGAGACAUACUACUAGUAAAUUGUUGUUAUGGGUGAGACAAGAGCACAUGUGGUGCUGCUGGAGGGAAUUAUGGGCACUCGGAAUAAAUUAACGGAGUUUGUCCAUGGACUGUCACAGGCAGCAACAUAGCACUAGUGCUCUUGCGCUUGAGCAAGAAGAAUAUAUAUAAUACACAGGCAGCAGAGUUGGUGCUAAUAGAAUACAGCAACAGUGAGUAGUAGUAAUUAAGAGGCACACACUUAACCUGACAGAACUAUGCAUCAACUAGGCACGAUUUCAGAACUGAUCGCGCCGUGCAGCCGAAUAAUUCAGGAGGCGACUCUGCUAAAUUCCAAUCCACUGUUGUAGUCGAUCUAAAGUAUUGACUGGAACAAACAAGUUGCACUCAUCCGUGACCAUCUAAAAUUCAGUAAGUAUGCGAUACUGCUUGUUUUUUGUUAAGCCGAUGAAACUAAACAAACUAGCACAAUUUCACAAAGCAACAUACGAAGGUGUCCUCUCCCUCUCUGCUCUCUCCCCACCCCCCAAAUCCAGCAGCAGCGGGAGCAUGCCCACAGCAACGACAAACACAUGCCCCGGCGCACGAGCUACUCCCUUGGAAACCAAACGCGUCAGCGAAAGGAAUGGAAGGGAUGGGGAGAAGAUGGCCGAGAUAGUGGCUAC